UACCGCGGUUAUACGAGAGGCUCAAGUUGACAGAUCAACGGCGUAAAGAGUGGUUAAGGAACCCACCCCACUAAAGUCGAACACCCCCAGAACUGUUAUACGUUCCCGAGGAUAAGAAGCCCCACCACGAAAGUGACUUUAUUACCCCCUGACUCCACGAAAGCUGUGGUA
rnacentral:rRNA from 1 species